CGGUAAUUCCAGCUCCAAUAGCGUAUACUAAAGUUGUUGCAGUUAAAAAGCUCGUAGUUGAAUUUCUGUGGGGACGGAGCGGCCGGCCGCAACUCGCGGUUCGAGCUAGCGCUUUCCCUACAUCCUGCCGCGAACCGUGCUACCAUUAGCUUGGUGGCGCUGGGGAUCGGCUCGAUUACUUUGAGAAAAAUAGAGUGUUCAAAGCAGGCCACACGCCUUGAAUAAGUUAGCAUGGAAUAAUAACUAAGGACUUCGGUUCUAUCUUGUUGGUGUUCGGGACUGAAGUAAUGAUUGAUAGGGACAGUUGGGGCGGUCAGUAUUCCAAAGCGAGAGGUGAAAUUCUUAGACCUUCGGAAGACUAACAGCUGCGAAAGCGUUCCGCAAGGAUGUUCCCUUUGAUCAAGAACGAAAGUUGGGGGAUCGAAGACGAUCAGAUACCGUCGUAGUCUCAACUAUAAACUAUACCAGCUAGGGAUCGGCCAACGUUAUUUUAUACCGACUUGGUCGGCACCUUAUGAGAAAUCAAAGCAUCUGGGUUCCGGGGGGAGUAUGGUCGCAAGGCUGAAACUUAAAGGAAUUGACGGAAGGGCACCACCAGCCGUGGAGCCUGUGGCUUAAUUUGACUCAACACGGGAAAACUUACCAGGUCCAGACAUAGUAAGGAUUGACAGAUUGAUAGCUCUUUCUUGAUUCUGUGGGUGGUGGUGCAUGGCCGUUCUUAGUUGGUGGAGUGAUUUGUCUGGUUAAUUCCGUUAACGAACGAGACCCCAGCCUGCUAAAUAGCGCGAGUGAGCUUUGCUCGCUGCGAGCUUCUUAGAGGGACUAUGAUGCGCGAUAGCACAUGGAAGUUUGGGGCAAUAACAGGUCUGUGAUGCCCUUAGAUGUUCUGGGCCGCACACGGGCUACACUGGCGCCUGCAACGAGCAUAUCAGCUGGCCCGAGAGGGUCUUGGCUAAUCUUUUGAACCGGCGCCGUGCUUGGGAUUGACCUUUGCAAUUGUUGGUCAUGCAACGAGGAAUGCCUUGUAAACGCGAGUCAUCAACUCGCAUUGAAUACGUCCCUGCCCCUUGUACACACCGCCC
rnacentral:rRNA from 1 species